GACGAACGCUGGCGGCGUGCUUAACACAUGCAAGUCGAACGGAAAGGCCCUGCUUUUGUGGGGUGCUCGAGUGGCGAACGGGUGAGUAACACGUGAGUAACCUGCCCUUGACUUUGGGAUAACUUCAGGAAACUGGGGCUAAUACCGGAUAGGAGCUCCUGCUGCAUGGUGGGGGUUGGAAAGUUUCGGCGGUUGGGGAUGGACUCGCGGCUUAUCAGCUUGUUGGUGGGGUAGUGGCUUACCAAGGCUUUGACGGGUAGCCGGCCUGAGAGGGUGACCGGGCACAUUGGGACUGAGAUACGGCCCAGACUCCUACGGGAGGCAGCAGUGGGGAAUAUUGCACAAUGGGCGGAGGCCUGAUGCAGCAACGCCGCGUGCGGGAUGACGGCCUUCGGGUUGUAAACCGCUUUCGCCUGUGACGAAGCGUGAGUGACGGUAAUGGGUAAAGAAGCACCGGCUAACUACGUG
rnacentral:rRNA from 1 species